rnacentral:misc_RNA from 1 species
GAUGAAGAACGCAGCGAAAUGCGAUACGUAGUGUGAAUUGCAGAAUUCAGUGAAUCAUCGAAUCUUUGAACGCACAUUGCGCCCGCCAGUAUUCUGGCGGGCAUGCCUGUCUGAGCGUCGUUUCGACCCUCGCGCCCGGCUUCUGUCGGGGGCGGUGUUGGGGAUCGGCCACACCCUUCAGUGGGAGGCCGGCCCCUAAAUUCAGUGGCGACCACGCUGUAGCCUCCCCUGCGUAGUACUAAAACCACCUCGCAGGCGGAGAGCGGUGCGGCCCGCCGUAAAACCCCCCAACUUUUACAAGGUCGACCUCAGAUCAGGUAGGAAUACCCGCUGAACUUAAGCAUAUCAAUAAGCGGAGGA